GGAGAGGUGGCUGAGUGGUUGAAAGCGCAUGACUCGAAAUCAUGUAUACCCGUAAGGGUAUCGAGGGUUCGACUCCCUCCCUCUCCG
rnacentral:tRNA from 1 species